GGAUGUAAUAUGUCGGAGGUUACUUUCCGUUUUUGUGGGGGAAGCCAUAUUAAAGAAUAAAAAUCUUGUGUUCCACAACAGUAUGCUUCUAUUGCUACCCAUUGCGGAGUAUAUCUUUGUGGGUUAAUAGAGGCUAUAUUGUUUAAGAUUGCGGCAAAAUAGUAUAUUUUCAAAUUUGGAAACCCCAUACCCCCACUUUUCACUUGUCUCAUUAUUAAACCUUUUGGAACUCGGGGAUGCUUCCCACCCCAACUAAAACGUAGCAAUAUAGCUUGUAAAGAUGUAAU